rnacentral:pre_miRNA from 1 species
UUAUUGGUAACGUUGCCCUUACCCUGUCGAACCGAGCGAGUGAGAAAUUUACCCACCCCUCAGUUUGCAGGGUACAAGCAACUUGCUAUU